rnacentral:snoRNA from 1 species
UUGCAAACUCGAUCACUGGCUCUGCAUGACAUUGCAGAAGCAAGGGGAACCAGGUUUGCUAAAGUAAUUGUGGUGAUAGAAGCUUAUUUGCCUUGGAAUUGACAUUUUUGAGGCACCUCAUUCUAUCCUAAGACAAAA